rnacentral:rRNA from 1 species
AUUGAACGCUGGCGGCAUGCCUUACACAUGCAAGUCGAACGGCAGCACGGGAGCAAUCCUGGUGGCGAGUGGCGAACGGGUGAGUAAUAUAUCGGAACGUGCCCAGUCUGGGGGAUAACGUAGCGAAAGCUACGCUAAUACCGCAUACGAUCUAUGGAUGAAAGCGGGGGAUCGCAAGACCUCGCGCGAUUGGAGCGGCCGAUAUCAGAUUAGGUAGUUGGUGAGGUAAAGGCUCGCCAAGCCGACGAUCUGUAGCUGGUCUGAGAGGACGACCAGCCACACUGGGACUGAGACACGGCCCAGACUCCUACGGAGGCAGCAGUGGGGGAAUUUUUGGACAAUGGGCGCAAGCCUGAUCCAGCAAUGCCGCGUGCAGGAUGAAGGCCU